UACGUAGGGUGCAAGCGUUGUCCGGAAUUAUUGGGCGUAAAGGGCUCGUAGGCGGUCUGUCACGUCGGGAGUGAAAACUCAGGGCUUAACCCUGAGCCUGCUUCCGAUACGGGCAGACUAGAGGUAUGCAGGGGAGAACGGAAUUCCUGGUGUAGCGGUGAAAUGCGCAGAUAUCCGGAGGAACACCAGUGGCGAAGGCGACUUCCUGGCCUAAGACUGACGCUGAGGUGCGAAAGCGUGGGGAGCAAACAGG
rnacentral:rRNA from 1 species